rnacentral:rRNA from 1 species
UAAGCGACUAAGCGUACACGGUGGAUGCCUAGGCAGUCAGAGGCGAUGAAGGGCGUGCUAAUCUGCGAAAAGCGUCGGUAAGCUGAUAUGAAGCGUUAUAACCGACGAUACCCGAAUGGGGAAACCCAGUGCAAUACGUUGCACUAUCGUUAGAUGAAUACAUAGUCUAACGAGGCGAACCGGGGGAACUGAAACAUCUAAGUACCCCGAGGAAAAGAAAUCAACCGAGAUUCCCCCAGUAGCGGCGAGCGAACGGGGAGGAGCCCAGAGUCUGAAUCAGUUUGUGUGUUAGUGGAAGCGUCUGGAAAGUCGCACGGUACAGGGUGAUAGUCCCGUACACCAAAAUGCACAGGCUGUGAACUCGAUGAGUAGGGCGGGACACGUGACAUCCUGUCUGAAUAUGGGGGGACCAUCCUCCAAGGCUAAAUACUCCUGACUGACCGAUAGUGAACCAGUACCGUGAGGGAAAGGCGAAAAGAACCCCGGCGAGGGGAGUGAAAUAGAACCUGAAACCGUGUACGUACAAGCAGUGGGAGCACCUUCGUGGUGUGACUGCGUACCUUUUGUAUAAUGGGUCAGCGACUUAUAUUUUGUAGCAAGGUUAACCGAAUAGGGGAGCCGUAGGGAAACCGAGUCUUAACUGGGCGUCUAGUUGCAAGGUAUAGACCCGAAACCCGGUGAUCUAGCCAUGGGCAGGUUGAAGGUUGGGUAACACUAACUGGAGGACCGAACCGACUAAUGUUGAAAAUUAGCGGAUGACUUGUGGCUGGGGGUGAAAGGCCAAUCAAACCGGGAGAUAGCUGGUUCUCCCCGAAAGCUAUUUAGGUAGCGCCUCGUGAACUCAUCUUCGGGGGUAGAGCACUGUUUCGGCUAGGGGGCCAUCCCGGCUUACCAAACCGAUGCAAACUCCGAAUACCGAAGAAUGUUAUCACGGGAGACACACGGCGGGUGCUAACGUCCGUCGUGAAGAGGGAAACAACCCAGACCGCCAGCUAAGGUCCCAAAGUCAUGGUUAAGUGGGAAACGAUGUGGGAAGGCACAGACAGCCAGGAUGUUGGCUUAGAAGCAGCCAUCAUUUAAAGAAAGCGUAAUAGCUCACUGGUCGAGUCGGCCUGCGCGGAAGAUGUAACGGGGCUAAACCAUGCACCGAAGCUGCGGCAGCGACACUUAGGUGUUGUUGGGUAGGGGAGCGUUCUGUAAGCCGUUGAAGGUGACCUGUGAGGGUUGCUGGAGGUAUCAGAAGUGCGAAUGCUGACAUAAGUAACGAUAAUGCGGGUGAAAACCCGCACGCCGGAAGACCAAGGGUUCCUGUCCAACGUUAAUCGGGGCAGGGUGAGUCGACCCCUAAGGCGAGGCUGAAAAGCGUAGUCGAUGGGAAACAGGUUAAUAUUCCUGUACUUGGUGUUACUGCGAAGGGGGACGGAGAAGGCUAGGCUGGCCGGGCGACGGUUGUCCCGGUUUAAGCGUGUAGGGGGAGUGACCAGGUAAAUCCGGUUGCUUAUCAACCCUGAGGCGUGAUGACGAUGCACCACGGUGCAGAAGCAGUUGAUGCCAUGCUUCCAGGAAAAGCCUCUAAGCAUCAGGUAACAUUAAAUCGUACCCCAAACCGACACAGGUGGUCAGGUAGAGAAUACUCAGGCGCUUGAGAGAACUCGGGUGAAGGAACUAGGCAAAAUGGUGCCGUAACUUCGGGAGAAGGCACGCUGGCGUUAGGUGAAAGGACUAGCUCCUGGAGCUGAAGCCAGUCGCAGAUACCAGCUGGCUGCAACUGUUUAAUAAAAACACAGCACUGUGCAAACACGAAAGUGGACGUAUACGGUGUGACGCCUGCCCGGUGCUGGAAGGUUAAUUGAUGGGGUCAGCCGCAAGGCGAAGCUCUUGAUCGAAGCCCCAGUAAACGGCGGCCGUAACUAUAACGGUCCUAAGGUAGCGAAAUUCCUUGUCGGGUAAGUUCCGACCUGCACGAAUGGCGUAAUGAUGGCCAGGCUGUCUCCACCCGAGACUCAGUGAAAUUGAACUCGCUGUGAAGAUGCAGUGUACCCGCGGCAAGACGGAAAGACCCCGUGAACCUUUACUAUAGCUUGACACUGAACAUUGAGCCUUGAUGUGUAGGAUAGGUGGGAGGCCUUGAAGUGUGGACGCCAGUCUGCAUGGAGCCAACCUUGAAAUACCACCCUUUAAUGUUUGAUGUUCUAACUCGGCCCCAUGAUCUGGGGUGAGGACAGUGUCUGGUGGGUAGUUUGACUGGGGCGGUCUCCUCCCAAAGAGUAACGGAGGAGCACGAAGGUUAGCUAAUCACGGUCGGACAUCGUGAGGUUAGUGCAAAGGCAUAAGCUAGCUUGACUGCGAGAGUGACGGCUCGAGCAGGUACGAAAGUAGGUCUUAGUGAUCCGGUGGUUCUGAAUGGAAGGGCCAUCGCUCAACGGAUAAAAGGUACUCCGGGGAUAACAGGCUGAUACCGCCCAAGAGUUCAUAUCGACGGCGGUGUUUGGCACCUCGAUGUCGGCUCAUCACAUCCUGGGGCUGAAGUAGGUCCCAAGGGUAUGGCUGUUCGCCAUUUAAAGUGGUACGCGAGCUGGGUUUAGAACGUCGUGAGACAGUUCGGUCCCUAUCUGCCGUGGGCGUUGGAAGAUUGAGAGGGGCUGCUCCUAGUACGAGAGGACCGGAGUGGACGAAUCACUGGUGUUCGGGUUGUCAUGCCAAUGGCAUUGCCCGGUAGCUAAAUUCGGAAGAGAUAACCGCUGAAAGCAUCUAAGCGGGAAACUUGCCUCGAGAUGAGUCUUCCCUGGGGCUUAAAGCCCCCUGAAGGAACGUUAAAGACUAUGACGUUGAUAGGCUGGGUGUGUAAGUGCAGCGAUGUAUUGAGCUAACCAGUACUAAUGAUCCGUGAGGCUUAACCU